AACGUAGGUGGCGAGCGUUAUCCGGAAUUACUGGGCGUAAAGCGUGUGCAGGCGGGCUGACAAGUGGUGUAUGAAAUCUUCCGGCUUAACCGGGAGCGGUUAUGCCAGACUGUCAGUCUUGAGUGCGAGAGAGGAGCGCGGAAUUCCGGGAGUAGUGGUGAAAUGCGUAGAGAUCCGGAGGAACACCGAAGGCGAAGGCAGUGUCCUGGCUGGUGACUGACGCUGAGGUGCGAAAGCUAGGGGAGCGAACGGG
rnacentral:rRNA from 1 species